rnacentral:rRNA from 1 species
GUGGGGAAUAUUGGACAAUGGGCGAAAGCCUGAUCCAGCCAUGCCGCGUGUGUGAAGAAGGUCUUCGGAUUGUAAAGCACUUUAAGUUGGGAGGAAGGGUAGUAACCUAAUACGUUGCUACUUUGACGUUAACGACAGAAUAAGCACCGGCUAACUUCGUGCCAGCAGCCGCGGUAAUACGAAGGGUGCAAGCGUUAAUCGGAAUUACUGGGCGUAAAGCGCGCGUAGGUGGUUCAGUAAGUUGGAAGUGAAAUCCCCGGGCUCAACCUGGGAACUGCUUUCAAAACUGCUGAGCUAGAGUACGGUAGAGGGUGGUGGAAUUUCCUGUGUAGCGGUGAAAUGCGUAGAUAUAGGAAGGAACACCAGUGGCGAAGGCGACCACCUGGACUGAUACUGACACUGAGGUGCGAAAGCGUGGGGAGCAAACAGGAUUAGAAACCCUUGUAGUCC